rnacentral:lncRNA from 1 species
GGAAAAUUUAUUUAUUUUUUGGAGUUAUUUAUUUUGUUUUGUUAUUUAAUUACUUAAGAAUUAAUUAUUCAAUGAUAUUAAUAAUAAUUUUACUUCGUAUUUUUUCAUUAUUUAAAGUUAAGAAUUUAUGUAAAUUAGAUGGUCUAUUUAAGUCGUUGGAGGGCGCUAUAGCCAUCUUGUUUCGUUGAUGAUCACAGCUGUGCGUGUAGUGUCUUUUUUGUAUGGAACUACUUAUACUAUUUAUAUCUUUAAUUUUGUGUUUAGUGAUACUAAGCUUGUAUCGAAUCAGUUUUUUGUUCAUUAAAGUAAAGUUUUUCAAGUGGUCAUGGAUUUCUUUCAAGGUCUUAAUUAUGUGCUGCGCUGGUUUCAAGAGACAGAGAUUGAUAUCUCCAUUCGCCUUUGUGCUCGGAGAAGAAGCGAUGUUACAGGGGACCGGGGUCGGACUUUUGACGGGUCCACGGUUGGGAACCCGUCAUAGAAGGAAAGUUAGAAUUCUUGAAGGAAUAUAAGCUGAAACAAAAGCACAUUAGUUUACUGUUUAUUAAAACAUAAAUAACACACGCGUGCGCGCGCGUGCACACAUGCAUGUAUAAAUUAUGUCAAAAAGUAU